AAAUAAUUUUCUGAAAUUGCUGUUCUUGUAGGCCAGACUCCUCUUUUUCAUGCGGCACGAUCAGGGCAUACUGAAACUGCAAAGUAUCUAAUAGAGCAAGGUGCCCAUCCUGCCAUGCCUGAGAAAGCAGGUUUGACAGCUCUACAUAUCUCUGCUGCAAUCGCCCAAUGCUCAAAAUGAUGAUAAAUUAGCUCCACUCUCUGCAUCAAUAGUAGCCGGCUCGGUUGAAUGGGUAAAGCUGUUAAUUCAGGUUUCUAGAACUUUUUCACAUUCAAUGUUUAACCUAUCUCCUACAUACACUAAUGUUAUUUGGUUACUUCAGUUUUCCUGAGGUCCAAGCGGUCCUUUCAUUUCCAUCUUAUGCAUGAUAUUUUUAGACAACCUCUAUAGGUUGAUGGGCAUUAUAUUGUUUUAAUCAAUGUUCAAUCAGAUUUUCACAUGGUAAUUGUGCUUCCUUAUUUGUUUCCUUUGAUAUUGCCCGUUUGAUUCUGUUAAUUCUAACGCUCUUGAUUACAGUUUGUUAUUAACAAGUUUUCACUAGCAGAAUAUGAUAUGCACACCCCUUUUCUUGCCAUCACUUUCAUUUCUACUGCAAACAGGUUGCUCAAUGCAGAGACAGUACUCUGGCUGCUGUGAAUAUCUUUUUGUGCUUGCUUUCAUUGGCAUAUCCAUCAUCCUUUCAUCUAUGUGCCCAUAGAAGUUAUAAAAAAUCGUACCUGGUAAUAUUUAUUGCAUUUCGCUGUCCAUGCAGGCGGGCACUAAAUUAAAUAUGAGUUGGGCCGAAGGAGGAACACCACUGCUCGUUGCUGCUUAUUUUCGGAAACUAGAAAUCGUAAAUUGUCUAUUAGAGGCUUGAGCUGAUGCUGAUAUUGCAGAUCAGGUCGAAAGCUUUAGAGUUUUACUUCUCCGGAAGUUUGCAUUAUAUAUUUAUAAAACUUCACUUACUUGCAUAUUUUGAAAGCUUGUUUUGAUGCAAAUAUGGCAAAAGGAAAAAAAAUCCAUGGACUGACCCCAUCGUCUCCAGCCUAUAGGAACUACUUAUGAUGUAUCAUAAACAUUUUUUCUGAAUUGAUGAUUGCUUAAAUUUUUGCAUGGUCUAGUGCUUUAUCAGUAGCUAUUCAUUUACUUAAUCUGGAAUUCUGAUCCCUCAUCUCCAGUAUUAUCGUCGUUGCAUUCAUUUCGCUUAUUCCUGGGAAAAUUUUAAUAUUUUGUCUCUUGUCCUGGGAUAUUAUUUGGAUGAUGAGUUAUUCAUCGUGUAUCAUGCAAUUCAUCAUGUAUCAUGCUUUCUUGUUGUCAUCACAGUAUGGGAUAAAGCAUAUAGAUGUUGCAGCCCAAAGAGGAAAUCGUGCAGCUGUGGAGAUUCUCUUUCCGAAGACCUCUACAAUUCAAACUAUCCCAGAAUGGAGCGUGGAUGGAAUUUUGUAGUAUGUGCCGUCUGAAACUGGUGAUAUGCAGGCUUUGAUCCUUGGAUCUUUAAUGUCAGCAAUGCCCUAUGGGCUGAAAAUGGAGGAAGAAGUCGGCAAAGCAGAGGAAAGUAGUAAUAAAAAGGACGCCUCAUUGACAAAGCAAAAGAUCUCAAAGGUAAUGGUGUAUUCCAAACAGAAAGCUGCAGAGGCCAAAUUAAGAGGAGAUGAUUCUUACAGAAGAAAAGACUAUUGAGC